AGGUGAUUUGUCCUUCUUGAGAUGCAUCAUUGUGUCUGUGGGUGUUACAGUACUCAUAAUGUGUGUUGCCAUAGUUACCAUAUGGAAGAAAAUUACAUAUAACAAAACAGCGGUAAAAAGAAACACAGUAAACCGUCAUCAGCAUGGAGAGACUGUGGUAUAUGAAAACAUCCCAGAGUCUUCUGCUUCCAUCAGAUUCCACAGAUCGAUUGAAGAGCCAAUAUAAAGCAAUAAAUUCAUUAGCAAAUAUGAAAUAUGAUUAUGUGUAACUGUUUAGUUUGAAACACGAGGAAGCUGUAAAACAUUUAUUUGUGUCAAACAAGAAGAAAUUGUUUUCUUAGAACAUUAUGAGUUGUUCAUAUACUUUUAGAUAAAAGAGUUAUGAAUAACCACAAGUAUUAAAUGCUAUAAUAACUCAAGUGUGUCAAUAAUCAGUCACCUAUGGGAAAAAAUAUCGUUUUAAAAUUUUGAAUAAAGAUGUUUUGUCAGGAUCUGUGUUUUUU